GUGCCGCUCGGCGGCGGCCACAUCCCCGCCGAGCUCGGCGGCGGCCGCCGCCAGGCUGCGGCGGCCGCGGAUCCACCCCUCGGCGGUGCGC
rnacentral:tRNA from 1 species